ensembl:lncRNA
GUAGAGGGCUGACAGCAGAGGUGUCUGUCUGAACUGAUACAUAUCUCUGGGUUAGGGUGGUAGAGGGCUGACAGCAGAGGUGUCUGUCUGAACUGAUAAAUAUCUGUGGGUUAGGGUGGAUAGAGGGCUGACAGCAGAGGUGUCUGUCUGAACUGAUAAAUAUCUCUGGGUUAGGGUGGUAGAGGGCUGACAGCAGAGGUGUCUGUCUGAACUGAUACAUAUCUCUGGGUUAGGGUGGUAGAGGGCUGACAGCAGAGGUGUCUGUCUGAACUGAUAAAUAUCUGUGGGUUAGGGUGGUAGAGGGCUGACAGCAGAGGUGUCUGUCUGAACUGAUAAAUAUCUGUGGGUUAGGGUGGUAGAGGGCUGACAGCAGAGGUGUCUGUCUGAACUGAUAAAUAUCUCUGGGUUAGGGUGGUAGAGGGCUGACAGCAGAGGUGUCUGUCUGAACUGAUACAUAUCUCUGGGUUAGGGUGGUAGAG